GCUGCUUUUUCCUUAAGUAAUUGUUUUUGGAGAGGAUUUUACUGCACUUUAUAUUUAAAAAAGUUGAAGCUUUACUUCAGAAGAACAUGUUUCUUUGUCAUUUUGCUAUUGUAAAAUAAAGUGAUUUGUUUAUGUACAGGGGAACGAACACUGUGCCGACAGAAGUUUCCACAAUCAGUCAAAACAAAAAGAGAAACAAAGUUAAACCAAUGGUAUGUGUGCUUUGUUGCAUUGUUUAGAUUGCCUUGGCCAGUUUAUUGGCUGAUUGGUUGGUUGGUUUGUAUAUUGAUAGUUGGUUGGUAAGUUGGUACAUUGAUUGGAUGGCUGAUUGAUGGGAUGAUUGGCCAGUGGUUUCUUUGGCCAAUUUAUUGGCUGACUAGAUGGCUGGUGUGCAUGUUAAUUGAUUAGUUCGUUGGUUGGUGAGUUGGUGCAUUGACUGGAUAGCUGAUUGGUGGGAUGAUUGGCCGGUUGUUUCCUUGGUCAAUUGAUUGGCUGAGUGGUUUGUAUGUUGAUUGAUUAGUUGGUUGGCUGAUUCAUUGGUUGGUUGGUUGGGCUCAGAAAAGAUCUCAAUAUGCUCACACUGGCUGAACAGCUGAUGUGCAACACAUUUUUUAUGGGAUGUUAUGAGAUCUCCAUUUAUCCCAUGACUUAGGUAUUGCUUAAAUAGUUAACUCAACUCAGUUUUUGUUAGUGAUGUAUUUUCUCUUUUUUGGCCUACUUCUUGCUUCUAAGGGACCCUCAGGAGAAAGAAUUGAGAAACAAAUGUUCACUGAAUCAUACAAAUAAGAGAUGCUCAAACUGAUCUCAAGAAACAAAUCAAGCAAUGAACAACACAUCUUUACUAUGGGUUGAAUGAAUGCCUGAUUAGUUGGGAUGAUUGACUGUGUGAUGUUCUGAGGUAGAUGCUUAACCCAAGACAUGCAGAAUCAGAGACCGAGGCGAGUAUAAAGGAAAAAAUAAAAUAUAUUUUUUAACAGGAGAACUAAGGGCACACUGGGGUCCAGCGGAUGAGAAUCAGGAAGUGGUGUCUACAAGGAAAACAGAGGUGAGUAUGGGAGAUGUAGUCUUGACGGAAUUGUUUGGAGUCAGGACUUACUACGCGGAAGUGAAGCAGGAAAAUGGAGUGGGAGUGAGCCGGGGUGAUAUCCAGAGCGAGAUAGCAGUCCAGGAGGUUGAGUGUUUGACGGAUUGAGUUUAGGAGGCUGAUUCGGAGAGGGAGCGUGAGUGUGGUGGAGAGCGGGUCGGCUGAAUGAGAGGUGAAACAGGAACGAACCGGAUAACUUCUUCCAGAGAUCGCAGAGUGUCCAAAGAUGCAGCAACCUGAGGUUGAGGUCAAACAAACAGGAAAAGAAGCAGAAGAUGUGAGUGCUCCUUUCCUUGAGCCGUACCAAAGAGGCAGUAAAUCACAAUCCACGAGCAGGAACAGAAUUCACCACACCUAUCAAAACCCAUUUAAGAUCAGAGGCCAGAGGUCCAACCGUUUACUAUCUCCUCGUUUUUUCUCUAAUCCUUUCUCUCGGGGUGGAACAACUGACAAAUGAAGGGCAAAUAUACAUGGCCUGCGUCUCUCGAUUUCAGCAAAACAUGAACAGACCCACAUUGGCAGGGAGACCCUUCCACAGCUCCUGCUUUUAUAGCUCAGUUCUUCCUUGUGCAAUGUGACCUACAGAACAACUCAAGGCAAGUUUGCUAAAUGUCUUUUCUGAACAGUAAAGCAAAAAUUGUAGAUAACUCAUGAAGGUGCCUCUGGCCAGAGCCACCUUUAGAGGAAAUUGCUGUGAUUUAGACUCAGCAUCUUUUGGCAUCUGCCCACUUCUAUUUUUCACUCCUAUGGUUGGAGUGUUUGUUUGACUCAUCCAAAUGCUGUCUCAUAAAAUGUGUUUCUUAACCACACCGAGCAAAUAAAGUAACGUGAUAAGCAGUUAAAAGCCAGAAGACUGAAAUGAAGAGUUGUUGUUUGUAUUUCAUUGCUUUGUGCUGCUUUCAUAAACAAUCAAACACUGUUGAAUGGAAACACAUUCUAUUUGAAAUUGUGCAUUUUAUCUCUUGUUUAUUGGUUUUAUUUACAAUGCAUUGUCUCCAUUUUCUUUACACGGCUGAAUUGAUGAUUCCCCAUUAUAGAGAAGAGUCUCAGUGUGAGACGAUUGAUGGCCACGUCCCUAUUGAGAUCAUGCAACAUCAGUGUAUUUCCUCGCUGGCUAUGCUAUUUUCUAAUUUCCCUGUGGUGCAAAUCUUAUCAUUUUUACCAUUUGAAGUCACCAAAACCAGCAACGUCUAACAGUGCUGUUUCACCCCAAAACACCAUAUCCUUUUAAAGUCAUAGCUGCAUGUUGAGUCUCUGCUUUCUGCCGGCAACACAUGGAAUCUAAGUAAUGGUAAAUCACUGAAAAGGAUGAUUAGACAAAAUGAUGUCUUGGGCUACCAGAGAGAAACAUGAAGACAAGUGUGUUCCACAGGAAGAAGGAAACUGUGUUGCUAACAUUUUUAUUAGGAUUGGGCUGGUGUCAAAACAGUAAAAAUGCAUUCAUUUACUGAGGUAGAGUGGCCACUUUUCUUCCAUUGUUUGAAGUGAGUAAUGGGACGUAGACUCCUGCCUCUUAGCAGAAGUCACAGUUUUACCUUCAUUGCUGUUCGUCACACAUCAUUGAUCACAAAAUCUAAACAAAUUUGAUGCAAAGUGUUGCAAGUGUUUUAAAGAGGACAUGCUAUACAAAAGUCACCUUUUGCGUUAUUUUGUGCUGCCAUGUGGGUCUCUACUGCUUCUAUAAACACUCCAAAUUUGAACAAAAAUCCCUUCAUCCAUUUUAUGUCAGUGUUUGGCUUUAGGAAUCAUCAGCCUAAAAUUAGUUGUUUCAAAAGGACCCAGCAGCAGCUCUACUACGAGCCCCUCCCAGGUACAGGAGCUGCUCAGCUUAUAGCAGCUUGAGUGGGGGAUGGGUGAGGGUGGACAGCUUCAACUUGUUUCCUUAAAGUGACAGGGCCCUGAGACGUCUCAUUCUGGAAAGUCCUUAAAAUGUCAAGAGCAAAUCUACUGAGAUGGUUUUAUGGGAGGGAUUUAGUGCAAAGAAAUAAAAGUAGGUUGAUAUCAACUAUGGAACUAUUAGAACUUAGGGAAAAAGGUCAUAAAAUGACUUCAUUAUGAUAAAUUUAUAUUUAUAAUCAGCAACAUAACCAAAACAGGAUGAUUGGUCUGCCUCAGUGUUGGGCACCAGCUUGUGAUGAGUCUCAGCUUUUUGUUGUUCCUUCAGCAUUUUUUUUAAUCUUCUGGUGGCGCAACAAAGACCAAAGUGGUUUAUGAUUUGUUGUCGACCAGCAUGCAUUGGGCACCCCUGAAAAGCAUUGAGUACAACAUUUUCAACAAGUAAACAACUCUGUUUGUGUACAGACGUUCUUCCAUUAGCUCUGAUUGUAUCACAUCACCAAAAGUUAGAUGUUUGAAAACAAAAAUGCACCAUUCCUGAUGCCCUGGAAACACAUCUUGUCAGGGAUAACUAGAUUUGAAGACCUUAACUUUAGUAUUUUUGGCAUUUUGUUUCAUUUUAAGUUCAGUACAUAUAUUUGUUAUGUUGCCCCUUUUUCACUGUGUCGGUUUGUGGCUUGUUUUAUUUCAUUAACCGCACAGGCCACCAUAGUUUUAAAGCAAUAAUCAACCAAGAUAAUUCCAAACUAGAACAUUAGAAAAAGAAAACAAAAUUCAACAUUCACCAAAUGUCACUCAUAACAAGAAAAAGCCUCUAUCAUGGUGGCUUUGAUUAACCUCAUUCUGUCAGCUGACAUUUAUCCUAAAAACUACUGUUACAGGAAAAUCAGUAAAAUCAUAAUAAAUAUUCCCAUGAGCCCUUGUGUCCCUAUUAAAACAAUGGUUCCUGUAGCAUAUUGCCGCUGUAGCUGGAAAAUGAUCAAACAAGUAAACAUUUGGUUUUACAUGUGUUUUUAAUUGAUCCUCCCACUGGAUGAGUCUGUAAAAUUUCUAGCUGCUUAGCUUCUUUCAAUUUAUGUUUUCAGUUUAGAAAACUUUGUUGACUGUAAGUUGAUUUUUGCUUCUUGAAAAAAAAACUGUAUAUAACCAGGAGUUUGAACUGAGGUUCUGCUAACAUUUGGACGUGUAUUUCAAUGUAUAAGCAGUAUAAUCAGUGCUUGUUUUGCACCACUACACCAUUUCAUGGAGUCAGCAAUAGAACAUUACAUGUAAUUAGUUACAGUCUACACAUGUUUUAAAUAAAUAUCUGACUUUUACAACAAUACUUUUGCCAAAUGAUAGCACAGAAGGUAUUUUUAUGGCGGUGUAAAUUAAUUCAAGUAAGAUAAAAUAAUUUUAAAGACCAUCAACCAGCUCAACUCUGCCACCUGCAGACGUAAAUCUGUUACAGUGUCCUUUAAAUUUGAACUCUGGAGAAAACCUUUGUUUUUACAGUGAAGCCUUAUGGUGACUAAAGUGGAUAUCUCUGAAGGUAAUCCUUCCACAUAUGUGUUCAUGUGAGAAAGGGAGGAUAAUUAAUGAGUUUAACACUUGUCAUGAUAAACUAGUGCUUGGAGUAUCUCGUCAUCCUCUUUUGGCAAGAAGCACGUGUUGGUUUGGCUGAAGAAGAGGCAAAAAUAUAAUGUUUACCAACUCGAUAACUAAUAAUGUUAAAUAACCAGGAUAUCAGUUUUGGGCUCAAUUGUGUUUAAAUAUUUUUGUCAAUAAUGGAGCAGAAAAUGCUGGAAUAUAAGUGUUGUAAUUAAUAAAUGUAAAUGUUACUACUUUAUAAGACAUGCUGGAAUGAAACCUGACAAACAGCGGUGUGUGAUGCGUUUUCAGGGCUAAAAAUGCCAGUUUGACUGAGUUUGCUUAAGAUGUAGCGUUUUCGGCUAGUUUAUUUUUACUAUGUGGUGAUUGGAUAGUUAUAUGGAACAGAGAAGACUCAACAUGAAAGUAAAGAAAACAUUGCUAGAUGGUUUUCAGUGUAGCAGAUCACACAGAAGCUUUGAGAGUGUUUCAGGUCUCUCCAACUCCUCAUAUUGAGCAAUGAAAGCAGAGCAACGAUGUGAGAGCCAGCGGAGGCUCUAGGACUUCACACUUUGGGUCCUGGUUUUAUACCCAGCCAACAGCACUUCCCAGCCUAACUGCGUUUCUGCCUUCCAGCCGUUCAUUUCCAUGGCAGAUCCAGCCUACUCCACUGCUCAGAGCUGUGCUUAGAUCCCAGUUCUUUUUUGGUUGUUUCUUUUCCCCCGAUUUCUGAUGUUCCUCCACUUCAGCAAUGUUAACACAUUUCAUAUAUCCAGGAGGAGAAAUAAAUUAUCACAGGUCUACUCUCAUCCAUUGUAUAUCAACUACCUCUCCUUGUCUCGCUUUUGCUCUGCUCCAAUUAUUCCUCCCUGCAGCCAGGAUUUCCCUUCCUUUGGUCAUAAUAGUUAGACUGUGAAAUCACCCAGGCUUCACACUCCACCCCUCAUCCCCAUGCCUCCCACUAAUCACCCUUUUCCUUCUCUGAUCCCCAAAACUUUUUCUAACUUAUUCUGGCCAGACGUGUAUAUUUAUGGCUUCAGAGUUAGGGUGUCAGGAACCAAUGAUGUCUGCUCUCAAUGGUUAAAGCCUAACAAUCCCAUACUUAAAUGAUGGGGCUACUGGAAGACCAAUCUGACAUACAUUAACACCUCCAGGCACAUCCUUCAAAAACACACAUCAUGACCUCCCUUUGCUGACACCUGCAGCAUCCGCUGGCUAGUUUACAUCUCCUGUUAGGCCCUCAGCAAGUGGACAAACUUUAAAAAUGUCUGGGAUUAAGGAAAUAAAUAAAUAAAUAAAACAAUGCUAGCAGCAAAAGUGCCCUUUAUUACUUAUUUAUCUCCAUUGGAGAAAGAAAUAAGUAAUGCAGCCAGCCAACGUUAUGCCUCAUGCCUGCAAGCAGGAUGUUUUAUUUAGGUUUCUGAAAUCACAUGAAAUAAAACAAACUGUGCAGAACAUCUUGUAAAGUUGAUGGUAAUCUAUUGUUUAAUUAAUGUCCAGUUUCCUUUUUAAAUAAUGGGAGAAAAGAUUAAAUCAUUUUUUAUAUCAAAGGCACAUUGUGCAGGUUCAGCCUCCUCUAAGAUGUAAGGAAUGUUUGUUUCUCAGUAUCUGGAAAUUCUUCAAUGAACGUGAUCAAGUAUUCUUUUCAAUUCAAUUCAAAAAUACUUUAUUAAUCCCAGAGGGAAAUUGAUUUUGUGACUUAAUAAGUAUUUAUGAGGAAAGCUACUGCCCUCUUGUGUUUUAGGCUAUUGAGUGUCAACGAUACAGCUAAGAGGAAUUUUUUAGUGUGUGCUUGUGGUUGUCAUGCAAGGAUGCAGUGCUGUAAAAAAGACUUGGCCCUAUUCCAGACUUUUUGUGGUUUGGGUUUUUGGUCACAGUUAAAUAUUUUUAUUGCCAAAAAAUGGCAUCAGACAAAAAUAACCUGAUAUACUCAAAAUGCAGUUUAAAAAUUAUUGUAUCUAAUGAGAGACUUUUGGUCCAGUAUGGAAAAAGUAAAUCAUGAUUUAUGUUUGGAUAAAGGUGAGUUUUACUAAUUUAUUCAAUACAUUUGCAGUGGCCUGUAGUAGAAAAUAUUACCAUGUAAGUUGUACUCUGGGGAACGUAAGCUCUGGUGCUCCAGGUUCAGGAGCAGGAAGUGAACUAGAUCAGAUUUGAGCUCAAGACAGCAGAACACCAGGGGUGUUUCACAAUGACAAGGAACCUCGCCUUGAUGUCUUGGUCCUGCCCCAGUUGCCUAGGAGAUAUGUCAUUGGGGGCCGCCAAGACGUGUUCCAAUGUUCAUAUUCUACCGAGGCGUGUGUUCUCCGUUUGUUAGCCGUUUAGCUAGCUGAACAAGGAGACAUGGGAGGUGUCUUGUAGCCUAGCCUUGGUCAAAAAUUACCCAGAAUACACCGCAGUAUUUUCAAAAGGACAGUGGAUCAGAGGCCAGCAGCUACUUCGGGGGCACAUUUUAAAGUUUAAAAGUAAGUCAACUAAUUUAAAAUGUUUUUUAGAUCCAAAUAAGUUAUCUAUGGUUGGUUAGUUGCUUAGUAGUUUUAACUUAGGUGGCUAGCAGGUAGUAACUCGCUUACAUAUUUAAUUUAACAAAUAUACACACAAUUUAAAAAGUAAAAGUCAUGUUAUAUAUUUAUAUUGAAACUAAUACGUCUUGGCGGCUCCUGAUGACGUAUUUCCUAGGCAACCGGGGCGGGACCAAGACAUCAA